rnacentral:misc_RNA from 1 species
ACUCACACACACGAACACGAAAAAAAGGAAAACAGCCACCACCACCACCACCACCAGUGCAAUACAGCCCGAUCAAGACCUCUUCCCUUCCAAUCAUCACACGCGCCGUUUGGUGCCUUUUCUCUCUCUCUAUCUACCCCCCCCCCCCCCCCCCCCCCAUCAUCGGGGCAGAUCGGCAUCUCAACGUCUGCCUCCGUCCGUUUUUUCAUCCUUAGAACAAACCGCAAAGCAAAGGACAAAAAAAAAGUAAAAGUAAAACCCUCCCUGAUUCCACGGCGCGAGAAAGGGGAACGCGGCACCGACACACGCAGUCUGCGCGCAGCCGUAGGAAGCAGUGCUGAAGGAGUCGCACACUUGUUUCUGCCCCGCGGCGUUUCCAGCCUGCGUUUUCGACAGGUCGGCGGCCAUCGACUCUGCUCUCUUCCCCUCAGGCUGCAACACGCGUCAACGGUGUUACCAGAGGAGAUCGACUGGUGCACAGAGCAGCUCCGUUUUUAAUGUAUUUAAGAACAUUUUAUUUUCGGUUGUGCGCGCCGACUUUGUGGGCAGAGACAGCCAAACGGUGAAUUUCUCUGUUCGUGGGCGGUGACUCUUUUCUUCGUCUUUUCUUUUUCUACCUCGGACUUGCAUUCUGUCAUUGCUAUCUGUUUCGGUGUGUGCGCUUCGUAGGCAGCACCGCUGGUUCCCUCCUUUCCCUCUAUUUGUGCGUGAGUGCGCACGUGUGUGUCUGUGUACUGCCUGCUGGCCCUUCACAGAAGGACGUGCUCGUCUCCCGACGCCGCAACGCAGUUUGGUCAGCACAGAAAAAAGUAGUUACCCGGCGGAAGGCCGCAUAGAGGAGUUGUGCGAGUCGAGAGCAGAGCAAACAGAGAUCGACAGCUGCGCCGUGGAGGAAAAAAAAAGCGAGCGAAGUGCAACGCAGCAGCCGUGCAGCGAGGACAUCGCGCACCGCAGGUGCAUGGAAGGAAAGCGUGAGGCCGACAACGGCGCUUCACUAGCAGCAUUCUCGCGCCCUACUGACGCUCAAACAUUUUGCUUUUUUUUCUUUGCUCGCAUUGCUUCGCCCACAGCAGCUCUGCUUCGCCACUAGCUCACCCACUCUACCUACUCCUGCUCCCGGUUCUCUUGGCGUUUUUCUUUCCCACCUAGCCGUACGCUUAUCCACCCUUAUCAUCGUCGCUCGAAGAAGGGGAGGGGACACUUCUCCCCACUCUAGUUCUCCCUUUGUGUGUUUUUUUUUUUCUUCGCUGCUCAUCUCCGUCGAUUUCUCCGGUCUCGGCAUCUUCGUCAUCAACGCUCUCGAGCGUGAACGCAUAAUAUAUCGUUGCCCCACCUUCCGCUCUCUUCUUCCCUUGCUCUCCUCUUUUCCGGUUUCGAUCUCUGCAGAACCCCUCUUUUUCUCCUGCUCGUCUGCUGCCUUCACAGGCCUGGCAGGGGGUGGGUGGGGGGCCUUAUCGUAACACUACGAACUACCCACCCUACACCCACACAGACACGACCACCCCACCGCAGUGCUGAGUCGCAUACACGCUUCCUCCUCCUCCCUCCUUUUCUUUUACUUCUUCUUCCCUUCUUCUCUCCGUUCACUGCUUCGCUUAUCGAUUUUGCACGUUUUCUUUUCGCGUCUUCACAGGAUUUUGCUUUGGUCGCUUAUCGCCUCUUUUUUUUGUGUGUUGUUCGUGUGUUUCUUCCGCUCGUUUCGGCUUGUUUUUUUUAUCUUUUUUUGUUCGUCUGUUGUUCUCACAUACCCGGGACACCUCAGCGUGACCCACAGCGGCCAGCCUUCUCCCCCCCCCCCCCCCAUCAGGCUGCCGGUACGAAAGUCACCAUCACACCAGUACACACCGUCACACAUACACACACACACACACACACACACACCGAAGAGGAGGGGAAAGGCACCUGUUGGCUGUGUAGAUGUCUAUAUCUCUCCUCUCUCAGUCUGCUCCUCAUUGCCAAACCCCCCUCCUUCUUCUCCCUCACAGAGCUCAUCACUCACUUUUGCCCCAGCCUAAACACACGCACACACACUCCCCCUUUCUUACGCCGUUUCCUAGUUGUGUUGUCCUCGGUCGCUCAGCACCCUUGCCCUCUUUCCUGCCGCACCGCCUUUUCGUGCUUGAGCGCCACAGGUCUCACCUCUUGCCCUCUCUAGUCUCCCGUUCUGUGUGAGCCGUGCCGAGCUCUCUUUCCCUUUCUUCGCUUAGUUUUUUUCCCCUCCUCCUUUCCGUCCUCUCUCCUUCCAGCACCUUCGAGACCCGCCCGCCCCGCACGCUGACUUCUUGGUGGUUCUGUUGGCUUGUAUUCUUCCUUGUGCUCUUCGGAUUCUGCUCCUGCUUCAGUCACGUGGGUUCCUUAUACACACAUAUAUAUAUGUAUAUGUGUAUGUAUGUAUACAUAUGUGUGCGUGUAUGUGUAUGUGCUGAUCUGCAUCAUCAUCAUCAUCAUCACUGCCAUCAUCCACACAUUUUUGUCGUUGCGGCGUUCUUUGUUGUUUGAUCAUUGGGCUUCUUCUAUCUCCCUCUUCGUCUCCCCAUCCCUCCUCCCACACGCCCCCCUUUCGCCCCUUCUUUAUUGUUUGGAGGGGGGGCUUUCGCUCUGCUCUUCACAAUCGAGGCUUUCUCGCUCCGAAUUUUUUUAUUAUUCUUGCUGUUGCUCUCUCCGUGCGUUUGUGUUUUGUCGUUAACUCGAGUACUGGUCGUUUUUCUCCCCUUGUCCCCUUCCUGCUUUCUUCUUUCUUCGCUGUAGUUGCUGCUUCUCGCGCUUUCUUUUUUUUUCAUAGUUCGGCUCCGUAACUCUCUCUCCUUUUUUUUUUGGUAGCACGAACUCACAGAUAUACGCUUAGACCCUCCCCUCUUCUCCCUCCCCCCUCACACACGUACACACCGGCUCCUCUUACUUCACCAAAGCAUCGGCGGUACGCCGACUCACCGACGCGCACAACAGCAUCAGCCCGCGCACGCACGACGGCUCGUACAGACCCUCCAUCCAGCACACGCGCACACCCGAGCAGGCAAAAACUCUCCCUUUCAUUUUCCUCCUGUCGCCGAGCUGCUUCGUACGUGCUUCCCGUGCUGUGCUGCUUGCUGUGUCCUUUUUUUUUGCGUUUUCGGACUUUGCUGGUUUGCUUGCGCGUGCCUGUCUGUCUGUCUGCUCUCCUGGUGUACCUCGUGAGCUCGCGCGCGUGCGCCUUGUGGUACUUCUGCCGUUGUGUCUUACCUUGCUCAUCUUCAGCAUUACCGCUUGGUUCUUCGUCUUCUGCCUGCCUUCUUUUUCCCCUUUUUUUCUUUUUGAAAGUGUUGUUUCUCGAUUUUUAGUCCGUUGCGUGAUCGAUUUUUAUUGAUUUGGGUGGGGCAUGUGUGACUGUCAGAGUUCCUCGACAGGGAAUUUACAGUGACGUGAAAGCGACGGGGAGUGGCAUCAAGAUCAGCAGCGGUAGUGACCGUGGACAACUGCACCGGCUCGACGAAGGAGGAGCAGCACUGAGAGACAAGAUCUUCUCUGCUGCUCGAUUUGUUUCGCCUCAAGCCCUCUCCUCUGUUUUCUCCGACUUGCUGCGGUUGUUUCUCCAUUGCUCACGCACACGCACACGCACACGCACACGCACACGCACACGCACACGCACACGCACACGCACACGCACACGCACACGCACACGCACACGCACACACUUCGGCACACCCAAUCUACGAAGGUACGCAAGCUAGAUUCGAGCUUCCUUUUUUUUUGUGCUCUCUAACCCGGCCUCUUCACGCCCUUUCUCUCUGUUCUCCCGCAGUCACACUUCUUCUCUUUCCGUUGGCCGGAUCACUGUGAUAUCGAGUGCAACGUCGUGUUACCGUCCAUCUACUAAUCGCUUUUCGUUGCUUUACGGUUGUUUUCCUUUGCUUUUUCACAUACCUUUUCUCUGCUCGAUUUUGUGUUGCGUUCAGUUUUGCUCCCUUUCGCCGUGUGUGUCUGUCUGUCCCGUCGUCGUUGUCCGCCACUCCUCCUCCUCCUUCCUCCUCCGCGUCUUCUUGUUUUCUGUUUCUCCCUUCCUGCACCGACUUCGUCUGAGUUUUCCCUUUUCUUUUUUUUUCCCUUUCUCGGGCUCUUUUCUGUUGUCUCGCCUUGGUUCUGCGUGUUUACGUUGUAUGUAGCGUAUUUGGCGGCGCGGAAUACCCCCCUCACUCGUCUUCUUGAUAUUCUACUCUCUUUGGUGUCGACCGAUACGCAUACAACGAAACGGACGAACAGCAACAUCCUAGAAGGAUACGGGAAGCCGUCCCUACCACCACUCAGCUUGGGGGUGGGGUGUGCUACGGAGCUCGGUGCGACGCCUAACGCGAUUGUGUGCGUGCCUAUGUAUGUAUGCAUCUGCGUGUGUGCGUGUGUGUGUGAUCGUUUUUCGUCCUUGCCCUUGCUAGCCUGCUAACUGUCUCCCCUGUGUUUGCUUCUCCUCGAUUGGACACUUUUUUUUUCAGCUUGUAUCCCGUCGUUUUUCUCUUCCCUCUCCCCUCCUGUACUUUGACUUCUGCAAGCGCUGAAAGCAACUGACAGCGCUCCUCGGUGGUCUCUCGCUCGCUCUUUCUUUUUCUUUUGCUCGCCUUACGUUUCUUUUCUGUUCGUCACUCUUUUUUUUUUCGUUUUAGUUGUUUCCUUCGUGCGCACUCGAAGGGGGUGGGAUCGGCGUGACGGUGGCUACAUGCUCACGCCUUCUCUAAGGCACCUGCGUCUACCUGAGUACGUGUACGUUUCUCUUCACAAGCGUUUUCGUUUUUUUUUUAGUCAUUUCCUCCCGCUGUGGCGUAACGCUGGAGUGUUUUCUCUGUCCUGCCUCCUUGUGUGUUGCUCGCUUUCUCUGCUUGCCUGCCUGCCUGCCUGUGUGUGUGUGUGUGCACACGCUCUGCCUCUGCUUGUCUUACACACGUACGUACAUACCUAUCAUUUGAUCUUCGGCGUUUUCGUUUUUUUUUUGUGUGUGCGCGUGUGUGUGUCACGCUUGUGUUUCUCACGCGUGCACCCCACCGCCCAUCCCCAAUCAAUCUCUCUCCCACCACUUCUUCUCUCCUUCGCCCUCCACCACCACCACCACACUUCCACUCCAUUUUUUUUUCCUUCUGCAUCGACCCUCUCUCUUGAAUAUCGUUUUUGUUUAUUUUGUUCCUUUGUCUUCUGUCUCCCACACCUCCAUCACACAUUUUUCGUUCCCCUCUGUUUCGCUUCUGUUUUGCUGCCCACUUCCACGCAUCCCUCCUCCCACUUUCCGCUCCACCUCCUCUUCUUUCGACUUUUCUUUACGUUCUUAUUCACAGAAACGUUGUUGUUGUUUCUUCUUUCGAUCGUGUGCACCGCCGCCGCCUCUUCUCGUUACCAUCAUUCGCCCUUCAUCCUUUUUUUUAUCAUCUUCUUGUUCUCCUGAACUGAAUUAAGCUUUUUUUUCGUUUCUUGUCGUCCUGCGGGUCUUUCUGCGUCACACGGUGCGUGUGAUCCCUCCUGUCGGCGUGCACCGGUGUGCUGACCCCCUCCCUGCCCCCCUCCACCGCUUUUUUGUUUCUGCUCUCUCCCUCCCCACCUUCUGUGACCCACCCGUGCCACUGCAAGGCCGACCCCCUCCCCCCGCUGUCCCUCCUAUCCCCCUCUCACUCCGUCUUGUCCACGACACUACAUUUCACGGUUUUUCUUUGUGUCGCCACCUCCCGCCACACCCGUGACAACUGUGGAAGUAGCACAACACUCACAAACGAGGCAAGCACUCAUAAUACCCCCCUGAAAACGGAAGGGACGACAACGAGUCUAAGCGGCGCGCGUGUCGGAGGCACAGGAACGUUAGCGAGAGGAAUGACGGGUCAGCAUCUUCAAGGAGUGGAUGCAAACCAAACACUUUUUUUUUACAUAUCAGUGCACACACACACACACACAUACACAAACUUAAUCAGAACACCUCCACACCAAGGAAACGCCGUCCGGGGGAGGGGGUAAGGGCAGAAAGAGGGCUCCCAGCGCUCUGCUUCACAUAAAACGCCCAACCUUCCUUCCUUCCACACCGUCAUAUCUGUACGCUCCUGCCGUCUCUUUUUAUUUUGGAGGGAGAGAGGAACCUCUUUCUCCGUGUCUUGUGUGUGCGCUCCUCUUCGUUUCGCGUUGUGAACUGAUUUCGUGUUUUCAAAUUUAGCUGCGUCGUUUCUCGCGGCUUGCGUCCCUCCUCCCGCCUUUAUUCUUUUUUUUUUUGCAUCAAUCGGCGGGCUGCACUCACUGUCGACCCCUUUUCGGGCACUCUGCGUCUUUGUGCUGGUUUUGCCUUAGCGCGCCCAACGUAGUCGACAGGGGGGGGCGCAACAGCGGUGCGUCGAUACAUUCAACGCUGCAGCGGGUCACGCUGAAAAAAAACAAGGAAUCGAGGGAGGGGGGGGGUUGGGUGGGUGGGUGGAGCAGAGUUUGGCGCGAGGAACGUCGGCUUUGGGCAAGCGGCGCUCCCAAUCCCCCCUUUUCUUUUUUUCCCCGCACCCCUUUCGCUUGCCCAGCCCGGCAAGGAGCGCUUCGAAACAACGAGGAGGAGGAAGGCACCGCCACACAUACACCUUUUGAGCACGCACUGCGAUACACAGACGAGGAAACAACGCAUUCACAUAUUAGACACAGAAAACCUGCAGUACGCAUACACAAAACAAAUAUAUAGACAUACAGAGGCAUAAUUCGCGAAGACACUCGCGCAGGGUCGCCGAGCCCCCUCACACAUACACACACACACACAGGCGCACAUACACAACCCCUGGCGCUCUUGUAGUGUCCACGCUGCUGCACAAUACCCCUCCCUCCCUUCCGCUUACCCGCCCCACCGUUUCAGGUGCUCACAGCGCUCCACACUCACCCAACGCCGAAAUAAGCGUAGUCCUCAUCGGUAUCACUGGCCGACAUAUACACCCUCACUCAUACGGGGAACGUGUGCACGAAGCAGGACAGCAACGUGAGCGUGUCCCCUCGUGUUGUCGUCCCUGCUCUUCUCCCUCUCCCUUCGUAUUCCACUCUCUGCACACCCCCGACCCACCCUCUGCCUCUCUCCGCUUCUUUUCUCUUUUUUUUUCCCAUUCUGGCUUCUCGUGCUCCCAUCUCCCUCUCAGUGACGCCGUCGCCCUCGCCCUUCCUGCAAGCCCACCUUCCUCUCGGUCGAGUCGUGGGCGUUGCGCUUGAUCUCGUUGCACCAUCAUUGUCAUCUUUCUUCUUUUUUUUUUCGAAAGCGAGGCACCUCAACGUGCAGCGGCGGACCCUUUCGUUUUGGACCGCUCCACUCCGCCUUCGCUUCUUACGCGCUUGCUCGACGACGCUAGUGUGCUGGUUUGGUGCGCGUCCGUUGUGUUCCGGGUCGUUAUUUUUCUGCUUCCGUUUUGUGUGUGUGCGUGCGUGUUUCUUUUUUUUUUCCAUUUCCUAGGUACGCCUUUCGCUGGCGACUGUUGGGGAGGGCAAGAGAGAGAAAGAUAGGCGGAGGGCGGCGAGGCACAAAAGUGGUGCCUGUGUUUGCUCUCCGUCUCCUUGUCCGGCGAAGGCCACGCCUCUGUCUUUUAUGUGCGUGCGCGUGAAAGUUUGGUGUUGGUCUCCUCUGCGUCGGCACGCUUCCCUCGCUCUGUUCUGCAUACUCCGUGUGCGUUUUUUUUUUCCGUGCUUUCCUCUUUGGCUACCCGUAGUUUCUGUGCGUGUGCGUGUGUGGUCUUUCUUUGCCGCCUUCCCUCCCCUCCUCUCCUCUUCGCCCCUUCUCGCGCGUGUGUGUCUGGUGUGAUCUCUCCCGUUCUCUUUCACGACCCUUUCGUUUUUUUUUUUCGUUGUUGUUGUUGUUUUCUGCCGUGCCCUCGUUGCUAAGGGAGACACUCUCUAAGCGCGCCCCAUACAUCUAUACACCUCCACACCGACAGGCUUGCAAAGGCGCACGCACACAAACCGGAUUGUUCAGACGGGUGAUCGCUGACUUCAUGUGCACGCGAUUGAGCAUGAGCAGCUACCACCACAACCCGUACCGGCAAUCGUCCGCCUCGUAUACUCCGCAGCAGGCCUCUCAUCAACCGCAGGGGCAGUCGCACACUGCCACCCGCGCCUCGGCGCAGCCACCACCGCCGCCUCCGGCCGCUGAUACGGAUGAUUCCAUCAGCCGACUCUCGAGCCAGAGCUUCUCUGACUCCAUCAGGGGGGCGCUUGCCCAUUCGAUGCUGCCUGUUGCGCGCGCCGUCUCAGUUACAGGCAGCGCGCGUGCGGGCGGCCCGGCGUCUGCGUCGACCUCCACGCAUUCCCAUCCCUUCAGCAGUGUCGUGAACAUGGCAAUGGGCGGGACGGCAGCGCUGGCGACUUCGACGACAGCCACCAUGCCCGCCCAUGACUUUGUAGCGUGCCGUGAGCGCCCGACACUGUUUUCUUCGCCGUUCGAUGGUGUGAACUCGCAGCACCAGUCGCUGAACUCGCCGCUGCACGGACUUCCACUGCCGCGGUCGCGGCACAGCGCCGAUGCCGGUGGCGACGAUUUACCGCUCGCCGAGAACACCGUGGGCUCGCUGCCGAGCGCGAGCACCCCCACUCGGUGCUCUGCCGCUCCCCUGCGGUCGCGCCAAGCGCUGUCGAACGCGCAGUCUCUAAGCUCCACGAUUGCUCUGGAGCGGCACUCCUUCUCCGACUGGUAUGCGACGGCGGCGUGGGAAGACCCAUCCACCGGCUCGUGCCCGAGCAGCAGCAGCUGGUCUCUGCUGAACCAGCCGCAACCGCGCAACACUGCCCGCGCGAUGGCGUCUUCACCGAUCUCCCCUGUCGACACAGUCGCCACGACGCUCUUCAUCGAUGGUCUGCCUGCGUUCAUCGAGAACAAGUGGCAGCUGCAGCCUUAUGUGCCACCACAGGGAUUGGUGGCGCUUCGUGUAAAGAGCUCGCGAGGCAGGAACGUCGGCUUCGCCGUCUACGACAGCAUCGCAGCCGCGCGGGAAGCCUUGACGUGGUUCAAGCAGAUGCUGAUCAUCAAGGAAGUGGUACAGACUUCCACAUUCGGCGCACCACCCGCUGCCGAGUCCGCGCGAGGGACUGAGGCGCCGCCUGCCCUUGCGUGCGGUGACCGCAGUGCGCCGCCCGCUGGCGGGACGAGUGAUUGCUUCCCCAGCUCGCCGGUCGAGUCGGAGCCGACGCCGCUGGAGUACGAGGAGUACCUCUGCACCCAGUCAGUGCCCGGCCAGUUUGCAUCUUUGCUGCGGAGGUGCACCCUUCUGCGAGCGGAGUGGGCCCGAAGCUUGGAGACUCAGCACCCACCCACUAACGUGGCGGCCGCUGCGGCUGCCGCUGCCAGCUCUCUCGCCUCCUCCCCCUUGUCCUACCCACCAUCGCCGUGGGGGACGGCAGCGGCGGUGAUCCGUCCACCGCAGCCACCACCGAUGGCGAUGGCGGCGCCGCACUUAGGCCGAGAGCCGAGCCACGACGGCGGCGACAGCUACUCGCAGGUGUCAGAGCCGGCCCGGCCAGCGUCAACACUACAGGCAGCUCCUCAUCAUCCACUGCCGUCGCCCAUCGCGUGGUCUCCGGGUUUGCAGUCUCCUCAGCAGCCACUAAACCCUUGCGCCGCUGUCGGCUGUGCUGAGGCACAGACCACACACCCGCCAGCGCAUAACCCGUCGUUUCCGUCAACGCCGCACCACGCGCUUUCGCCGGUGACGCGCCGCGUUUGGGCUUCCUCGGCACCAUCAGCGCCGUUGCAGAGGCCGGAGAUGCGCUGCUACUACGACUGCGGCGCCGCUAAGAAAGCCUACCACCAACACGCGCAUUCCACCACUUGCCAACCUCCUUUUCCUGCGCAUUGGGGCUCGCACAUGGCUAAGCGCAGCGAUGCGCGUGAGCGGGUGGAUGCCUGGCGAGGCGCACCACCAGAGCCGCCAGCACUGCCGUACCGUCAAGACGAACCACAUCUGCAGCAGCGCCACGCGUCUUACCAUCACCCCCGGCAUUCGAGUGAGCCUCCCCUCCCUUCCCGUACGCUCUUUGUGCGCCUCAUCCACAACUUCGACGCACCCGGGUACCUGCAGCAAGACCAGGUGCGCAGCAGCACCGGCAGCAGCACAGGUAGUGCGAGUGCGAUGCACAUGAAGCCGUUCACGACGGUGGGGCUACCACCAACCAUUGAAGGUUCAGUGACCGCGCCGGGGACUACCACUGCGUACGCCGAGGAAGCUGCGCCGCCGACACCGACGCGGCUUGUAUCGCAGACCACCCCCUCGCUACAGGUGCCACCAACGAGCGGUGCCGCAGGCACCCGCCUGCUGGUCUCGGCCGUGCCGCACCAUCACCACCACAUUUGCUACCAAUCGUCGUCCUCGCCAACCUCGACGGCGACCCCGCAUCUGCGCAGUCCGCUGGAUAACCGAGGUACACAAGCGUAUUCCUCAUUGCAGCCACCACCGUCUUCGCAGCUGACGGGCCCAUGUGCUGACCGUCAUGGCGGCGGCGCUGGUGCUGCCGACGAAGCCCUCUCGCGGCCGUCGCCGAACGCAGAGGACCGCGAGUUCUUCCGCUUCGCACAGAGCGUGCUGCGCGAGGAGUACUUCUCCGAGAAGUUUGCCGGCUUCCUCCGGUACCGCGAGUUCUUGCGUCCGCCGUACUACGGCGGCUGUUUUGUGCUCUUUGAGCGAGGAGAAGACAUGCAGCGCUGCCUCCAGUGGAUGCGCAAGGAUGAGCGGCUCAUGAAGUUGUUUGCAGUCGCACCCGCCCGCAACGACAGCUUCGGCCCUUGAGUAUACGACUUGCUGGCACGCCCGUUCAUCUCCAGCGCUUGCUGGGAUCUGGGCUGCUGGUGUGGGGGCGAGCUUGGGGCAGAUGUUGUGUGGUCGUGCUUGCUCUUUCCUUUGUGUGUGUGUGUGUGCCCGCAAUGUAUUUAAAGGGAUCGCGUGCACACACAGGUGGGUGACGGGUGGUGGUGAUACACUGCCCGCAUCGGGCACCACGGUGCGUGUGCAUGUAUGUAUGUAUGCGUGUGUGUGUGUGCUUAUGCCCUCUCUCUCUUUCUCUGCGAGUGUGUGGCCACGACCUCCACUCAUCUUAAAAAAAAAACUAUUUGAAAUGAAAAAUUUUCCCUACCGCCCUCCUCUCCUUUGUUUGCGCCUGUGUGUGUAUUCUCCUCCCUCACCUUCCCUUUUUGUUUUGCUUGAGUUUUUUAUUUUAUUUUUUUUUCUGCGUAGUACCAUGUAUCGCUUACGAUAGCUUCUAUUUCGGCUCCUCUCCACCCUCUCUUUUUAAUAUAUAUAUAUAUUGUGUAUUUAAUAUAUCGUUCAUAUAGUUAAUACGUUUGGUUGUUGGUUGACUGUAUUUGUAUCUGAUGUUUUUCUUUUUUGGUCGUGUGUUUCGUGUUCCUCUUCAUUCUUGCAUGUGCGACUGUCUAUUUUACUAUUAUGGCUCGAUCUUUUUUUUUCGUUCCUUUUUUUUCUCUGUGUAUCCAUCGACAUCAGAAGUAUCACCUUGUCUGCCAUAUCUCUCGCUUCCACUCUCGCCUCUUCUCCUCUCCUUUUCAUUCAGCAUCUAUCUCCCUCUCAAUAUACCGUAUUUUCUUGUUUGGCGCGUUUCUUUCUCUGUAUCUCUCUGUGUGUGCAUGUCUGCCUGCCUGUCUGUGUGCAUGUAUGUCGGUCGGCGUGUUUUCUCUCCCGCGCCUCUCCGCACUUUUUUAUUUAUUUUUAUAUUUUCGCCCUUUUCAUCUCCGUUGUUUUAAAGUGUUCUCUCUUUUUUUCUUACGUGUCUCCUUGAGUAGCACGUGCUCUAUCUGUGCCUGCGCCUGUGCCUGUGUGUGUGUGGAGUCGGAGCAGGGCCAGGUGAAGCGCCAACACACACCGACACCACACACACACACACACAAGGCACACACACACACACAAACCGCCGAUACGCGGACACACCCCUCUCGCGUUUGGAGCAACGUGGCUCUGACACCUCUUUUUAUUUUAUUUGCGGUUCUUCCCUUUUCCACCUUUUCUGUUCGUCCUUCGCGCCUUCGCCUCCCCACGAGCCGUGUUGCGUCGUUCUUUUCUAUUUUCCUUUUUUGCUUUUCUCUCAACGAUGCCACCCGUUGCGUUUUUGGUGUUUGGGUUCAUUACAUUUUUUUUCGUGUUUUUUUUUCCGUGCUUCAUGCGUGUGUCGGCGUGGCGGCCUCUUCCGCUGCUGUCAGCUCGACACCCGCACACACUCGCCCGGAAAGGAAAGCGCGACAACAAAAGAGGGCUGCCGGGGAGAUGUAGGCGGAUAAAAAAGGGGGAAAGAAGACGCUCAAGAUGCGUGCAAGGGCUUUUUUUAUUUUGUUUUAUGCCCUUGUCAUUGUUUUGCUCUUGUUAGCGUGCUAACGUGUUUUCUCGUCACGCGCCGUCACCAAAAAAAAUAUUUUUCCUCUUCUUCGUCUUUCCGUUUCAUGCUCGUUUUUUCUUGUUUUCUGGGUUUCUUUCAUUUUUUUUGUGCUUCCCGUUGGCCUCUUCUGUUUUGUACGUCACCGCAGGGUGCCUUCGCCACUGCCCAUGCGCUCAACAACAAGAAGCGAUAUUUCGCACGCCUCCGCUUACGCGCACACACGACGCUGUCAUGUCUGCACCGCGAAGGCUGGAAGUAAGGAGAGACGCAGUGGUUAACGAAAAACAAUCAAGCAAAAAGAAGAAAAAACGAAAAGUGUGGCGAGGAAGGAGGAGGGAGGGGGCGCGGAUGGGCUAGAGACGCGUGAGCCGGUCCGUCGAACUGCCCUCUCCCUCUCUCUCAUCGAAAGCGGCCCGAGAUGUUUUCGCUUCGCACCGCCACCAUUCUCUUUCGCCUUUUCAGUCCCUUGCGACUGUGCUAACGAAAAGUGACGACGUUGCACCGUCACUCCCACCUCUCUUCCGCUCCUUUGGUCCUCCGGUUCUCAUCGCACAUGCCCUCCGUAGAUUUCUGCUUUUCUCAUUUUCUUUCUGUGAAUGCAAGUCACGUCUUCCCUCUUGUUUUUCGUCUUGGUCUAUUUCUGUUUCCGUUUCCCCCCUUUUUGUGCGUGUGAUUGGUUGCCGAGGAUCCGCGUCGGCGCUGUCUGCCUCUUCCGCUUCCUCACUGCAUCUGGUGUCCGCCGGACACCCAUUCAUCCAUGAAGCGAACAACAACAAUACGAGGAAGGAGCGAACGAAAAAAAAAGUGAAACCGGUGGCCUGUCGUUUCUGUAUCGUUUUCUUUUUUUUUGGUCUUCAGGCGUGCUUGCUUUUUUGUUUCGUGUGCGUGUUUUAUGGUACGCAUAGUGUUGUCGUCUCCGCUCGGCCCCCUCUUCGCACUCUCCCCUCCCCUCCCCCCAUCCUCCCCCUUCACACAUGUAUCCUCUCCCUAUCAACCUCUCUAUCGAUAUAUAGGUAUGCCUCUUUAUAUGUAUUGCACGUGUAGCACGGUGUAUCCGAGCGUAUCUUGUAUUCCUUUGUUUUUUUUUUUUACCUUUCCUUUUUUUCCCUUGCUUUUCCCUCUCUCUAGCACGGACGCACACAGAUACACGCGCACCAUUUACGUGUGCACUGCGUCCAUGUGUAAAGGGGGAGGGGGGACACCGCAGGAGGCCGGGCAGGGGAACGAGGAGGCAGGACAACAACACAGGAACCCAACACGGGAAGGGCCGAGAAGCAACGAAAUCAGAGCACUGUUGUUGUCGCAGCACAAGCACCGCCAGAGCAGCAUCAUGCAUUCUCAACAUGUAUGCUGUGUGUGUGUGUGUGUGCGGGCUGCGACAACAACUCCUGGUGUUCUGAGCCCAACAGGCCCCCUCCCCUUCCCCCUCCCUUCUAGCUGUCCCCUCUCUCGCCGUCCCUAUGCCAGAUCCUCAGAGAUUGCCCGUCUCUUUAUAUAUGUACAUGCACACACGUGUGUGCGGUACUGAAGGGAAGAAAAAAAAAGGGAUAAGACAACGUAAGACGGCAAGAAAAACCGAAAAGAGAGUAGCAAGAAGUCAUUCAACCCCAUCCAUGGGAAGG